rnacentral:misc_RNA from 1 species
UUUCCGUAGGUGUACCUGCGGAAGGAUCAUUAUUUAAUACGAUUGGUACUGAUGCUGGCGCUUUACUGAUCAUGUGCUCGUCCAUCUAUUUAUCUUCUCUUGGGGACAUUUUUUAGUCUUGAACGAAACCUCUCGCAGUCAAUGCGGUCUGGGAGCCUGGGCGCGAGCCCUUCUCCUGCUUCUUCAAGGCUAUGUUUUCAUAUACACUAUAAAGUUACAGAAUGUCUUUUAACGAUUGCGCUUGUCGUAGUCAUUAAACCUAUACAACUUUCAGCAACGGAUCUCUUGGCUCUCCUAUCGAUGAAGAACGCAGC